rnacentral:tRNA from 1 species
GGAUAUAACUCAGUGGUAGAGUGCUUGUCUAACAUGCAUGAAACAAAGGUUCAAACCCCAAUAUCACCA